rnacentral:rRNA from 1 species
CAGUAGCCACGGGAAUACGGAGGAUGCAAGCGUUAUCCGGAAUGAUUGGGCGUAAAGCGUCUGUAGGUGGUUUAUUAAGUCUACUGUUAAAGAUCAGGGCUUAACCCUGAGUCGGCAGUAGAAACUAAUGAGCUUGAGUACGGUAGGGGCAGAGGGAAUUCCCGGUGUAGCGGUGAAAUGCGUAGAGAUCGGGAAGAACACCAAUGGCGAAAGCACUCUGCUGGGCCGAAACUGACACUCAGAGACGAAAGCUAGGGGAGCGAAUGGGAUUAGAUACCCGCGUAGUCCCUGUCUCUAUACA